rnacentral:rRNA from 1 species
UACAGAGGUCUCAAGCGUUGUUCGGAUUCAUUGGGCGUAAAGGGUGCGUAGGCGGCGCGGUAAGUCGGGUGUGAAAUCUCGGGGCUUAACUCCGAAACUGCAUUCGAUACUGCCGUGCUUGAGGACUGGAGAGGAGACUGGAAUUUACGGUGUAGCGGUGAAAUGCGUAGAUAUCGUAAGGAAGACCAGUGGCGAAAGCGGGUCUCUGGACAGUUCCUGACGCUGAGGCACGAAGGUCAGGGGAGCAAACGGG